UUGUCAUUAAUAAAUUAUCAAGUACCUAUGGAAUAAAUAAUGCUUAAAAAGAGAGCAAAGAUUAGGCUUUGGGGUAACAAUAAUUGGACUCUCCCCAGAUAAUUCUAAUUCAUUGAGUAUUUGCAUAACUUGAAGCUGGGAAAAAAUAAGUUUGAGGAAAUAUCUCGAGUACCAAGAGUUAUUCCGAUGCAAAGCACAAGUACUGCUAAAAAGGAUCCGGCCCUUUCCACUACUCAUAUCUUAAUGCCAAUGCACAGAGUGAGUGAAGACUGCGAAUGCCAAAAAAAAAUGCAGAAACCUGACCUUGCCCACAAGUCGAAUAGUUCUGCGCCCCUCCCCCAGCUUCCCCAGGAGCCGGUUCACGCAAUCCCAAUUGGUCAGUUUGCUUAUUCCAGCACCUGCCUGGCAGUGACAAGGGAAUCUCCAGGGGAAGACAAGAAGGUCGGAAAAAAGGCGGCCUGGGAAACUGUGAGGCCCAGGAGGACAAGGUUCGAAGAGGAAAAGGAGAGAAUCUUCGGAGGGAUGAGGAUCCGCACGUCUUUCUUCAUGUCGGCGGUUCUCGGGGGCCAGCCUCCGCCUGUACGCAUGGAGUGGACUCCUUUCGCCAGGAGCGCCCACCCCACGGCGCCACCUGCCAGCCUCUUCGGCCGCUGGGGCUCGCCGCGCCGCCCCUAAAGCUGCUUCCCCCUUACGGGAGCCGGGACGGCACCAGCUCCGCCUCCUCCGGCCCAGCGGGAGGCGGUGGCGUCGGGGACGACGGCACGCAGCGAGGGACACGCGCUUUCAGAACGCGAACGCUCUCAGCGCAGGAACAGCGCUCCCGCUGUCAGGCCGCCGCAGCGCAGGCCCAGGGAGCCUCGCCCACCCUCUUCUGGGCACCACGACCCCAGAGACGUUUUGGGCCCGGAAUUUGACUAACAGAUUCCCUGGUUUAAACCCAUUUAUUUAUUCCACAAAUAGGGACAGAAAUUCCCUGUUCAAAGUCACAUAAUUAGAGCGUGGCAGUGACUCAGGGCAGGGCUCUUCUCACCAGACUAAACUCCAGGAGGGCGGCGACCUCCUUCCUGGUUUUCCGCUGCGUCUCCACGUUGUUGGACAGAACCCUCAGAAAAUGCUUGAUCGAAUAGGGCGACUGGCUCCCAGAAUCCGGCGCUUUCCACUCCCCGAGGUCCAUCAUCCUAGUCGUUUUUGCGUGUGAUGCUUAUAAAAUACGAUAAAAUUCCUCUUUACGCUGUGUGAACAGACUUGUUUCUUUAUAACCAAACUAAGUGCCCUUUUUCUGUCUAUAUAGUUUAUUUUGUGGCAGGGUUUUAGGAUACUUUGCUUUCUUUUCUUUCUUUUUUUGAGACGGAGUCUCCCUCUGUCGCCAGGCUGGAGUGCAGUGACGCUAUCUCGGCUCACUGCAACCUCUGCCUCCCAGGUUCAAGCGAUUCUCCUGCCUCAGCCUCCUGAGCAGCUUGAACUACAGGUGUGCGCCACCACACCCGGCUACUUUUUGUAUUUUUUAGUAGAGACGGGGUUUCACCUUGUUGGCCAGGAUGGUCUCGAUUUCUUGAGACUUCGCAACCCGCUCGCCUCGACUUCCCCAAGUGCUGGGAUUACAGGCGUGACUGCCCCCGGCCUCAGAUAGUUUUCUUUUCUCAGGCUUAUGCAGCAUAAUGCUAGACAAGGAGGUGGCACUGGAUAAUAAACUCUAACUGAUUUUUCUAACAUUGCCUUUAUUUUCUCCUGACCCUCUCCAUCUGAAGGAAUUUGUUGCUAUGUGCUUAAUGUUUGGUACACUGGAAAAUAUGUAUAUAUACACACAUAUAUACAUAUAUACCCAUAUAUGUAUAAAAUAUGUACACACAUACACAUGCACGUGAGAAUAUAUAUCACAUCCCUAAUGCUUGGCACACAGUGGGAAAUGUAAAAUACAUAUAUUAAAUUAGUGAGGAAGCACUAUCUGUACAUAAUGUACCUUUUUUCUAUCUUAAGUAUUACAUAAUAAACAUUUAAAGGGAAUGAAAUGUGAGUAAUACCAAUCUCCCCUUCUCCUAGGAGAAGUCAUGUGGUCUCUUGCAGCAGCUAAGAGUUGCUGGCAAACUUCCUAGGUUUGAAUCUAGGCUCCACAUAACAGCUCUGUGAUCCUGAGAUGCCUUCUUCCUUUUCCCUCCCGGGCCCACUCUGGAGGAGUGGAAAAGUCCAGCGCUUUGAUACCAGGUCAUGGAGAAUAUCUUUGAUUUUCCCUGCAGCCGCAUCGGAAGUCACCAGCUUUGGAAAAGCCAUGGAAAGAUCCACCCCAGAAGAAAAAGUGUAUUGAUGAAUCAUUUUAAAAUGAAUAAACAGAAGUCCCCUACACAGCCCAUCAA